GUAGAAACGCUUUGCACAGGAGCUGAAGAAGACUGAUUAUUGUUAGAGAGAAAAGUAGAUGGAAAGCUUCCCAGUUGCUUCUGGAGAUCCAACAUAUACUUGUAACAUUGUGCAUAAUAAGUCAUCUGAGCUUCAACAAAGUCAUUGAGACAGCGGAGAUGAUGUGCAUGUGUGCUGCUGAUACCUUCCAGGAGAAGUCUGGUAAUCUCUGCUUGACGGUCAAAUUCACUUUGAGUAAUUCGUACUUCCUGUUCAGAUUUUGUCACUUCC
rnacentral:lncRNA from 1 species